rnacentral:rRNA from 1 species
UAAGUGGUGGAAAUUAAACCAAAUGGGAUAUCUUUAGUAAUUGCGAAUGAACAAGGAUAUGCUUAGCUUGACAAAUGGAGCUAUUGGCUUUGAAUUGUAUUGUGGAAAUGUAUUACCAACAGAGGUGCAGGUGCCAGCCUAUUGAAAUAAAGCGUCAAUGAGGGUGAGAAUCCUGUUUGUCAUGUGCAGCCCUUUGUGCACGGUGUAUAUUUGCUGAGUCACGCUCCUUGGCAUUGGAAUGCAAAGUGGGUGGUAAGUUUCAUGUAAAGGUAAACAUGCAAUUGAGACUGAUAGCACACAAGUACCAUGAGGGAAAUAUGAAAAGGACUUUGAAAAGAGAAUUAAAUGAGUUUGUAUUUGCUGAACACAAAGUAAACAGACUUGAUUUGCUUGGUGGGAGUGUUGCACUUGCUUGACAAGAGCUUUGGGCUGUGGGUGUAAUGAUUCUUUCUUUGCAUGCCAGUUUCUAUUUGUACAUCUGAUUACCUUUGCACAUGAAUGAUAAGUCUCCUGUGGGGGGUGGAUUGCAUGUGCAUGUAAUGAUUUGUGUUUUGAUAAAUGUGUCUGGUGUAUGUGUGUGUUCCUGUGCUUGGGGAUGCUUCCUUCCUUGGACUUACAAGCCCUGACACACACAUGCUGGCAAAAUGCUUCUGCUUGACCCG